UACGGGGGGGGCAAGCGUUGUUCGGAAUUACUGGGCGUAAAGGCUCGUAGGCGGCCAACUAAGUCGGACGUGAAAUCCCCAGGCUCAACCUGGGAACUGCGUCCGAUACUGGAUGGCUUGAAUUCGGGAGAGGGAUGCAGAAUUCCAGGUGUAGCGGUGAAAUGCGUAGAUAUCUGGAGGAAUACCGGUGGCGAAGGCGGCAUCCUGGACCGACAUUGACGCUGAUGAGCGAAAGCUAGGGGAGCAACGGG
rnacentral:rRNA from 1 species